UACGUAGGGGGCAAGCGUUGUCCGGAAUCAUUGGGCGUAAAGCGCGUGUAGGCGGUUCGGUAAGUCGGCUGUGAAAGUCGGGGGCUCAACCCUCGAAUGCCGGUGGAUACUGUCGGGCUAGAGUGCGGAAGAGGCGAGUGGAAUUCCCGGUGUAGCGGUGAAAUGCGCAGAUAUCGGGAGGAACACCAAUGGCGAAGGCAGCUCGCUGGGACGGUACUGACGCUGAGACGCGAAAGCGUGGGGAGCAAACAGG
rnacentral:rRNA from 1 species